CGUGUGCUUACAAGUAGUCAGAGCCCGUUAAUGGGUGAUGGCGUGCCUUUUGUAGAAUGAACCGGCGAGUUACGAUUUGAUGCAAGGUUAAGCAGUAAAUGUGGAGCCGUAGCGAAAGCGAGUCUGAAUAGGGCGUUUAGUAUUUGGUCGUAGACCCGAAACCAGGUGAUCUACCCUUGGUCAGGUUGAAGUUCAGGUAACACUGAAUGGAGGACCGAACCGACUUACGUUGAAAAGUGAGCGGAUGAACUGAGGGUAGCGGAGAAAUUCCAAUCGAACCUGGAGAUAGCUGGUUCUCUCCGAAAUAGCUUUAGGGCUAGCCUCAAGUGAUGAUUAUUGGAGGUAGAGCACUGUUUGGACGAGGGGCCCCUCUCGGGUUACCGAAUUCAGACAAACUCCGAAUGCCAAUUAAUUUAACUUGGGAGUCAGAACAUGGGUGAUAAGGUCCGUGUUCGAAAGGGAAACAGCCCAGACCACCAGCUAAGGUCCCAAAAUAUAUGUUAAGUGGAAAAGGAUGUGGCGUUGCCCAGACAACUAGGAUGUUGGCUUAGAAGCAGCCAUCAUUUAAAGAGUGCGUAAUAGCUCACUAGUCGAGUGACACUGCGCCGAAAAUGUACCGGGGCUAAACAUAUUACCGAAGCUGUGGAUUGUCCUUUGGACAAUGGUAGGAGAGCGUU
rnacentral:rRNA from 1 species